ACAUAACUCAAGUUUAUUAUAGCAUUCUUUUUCAUCUACUAUAGACAUAAUAUUUCUACAUUAUUUAAAAUGCUAACGUUUUUGAGUACAUAUUUAAAAUCUACAGAUUUCUAGCUCCCGUCAAACGUAAAAGUCAACGCAUGCUGUGUAAACAGUAGCACAGAAUAAAGACACAGAAGGUCGACUCAGCCAAAAAAGCGUAACCGCUGCCACGCCAUGAUUCGUCAUCAAAAUGCUGACGCCAUGGUCCUAGCCAGUGCGCAUAUGAAAGGCAUUCCCCCCUGGAUGUCCGCCAUUUUGAACAUUAUCAGGGGGUGAAUGCCUCUUAAUAUCAAAAGUUGGUUAAAACUAAUAGACCUUCUUAUAACAUCAAACGCGGACAACACUUAUUUUGGCUCGCCAACGACUGUAGGACGUUUGACGUCAUGGUUCAGGGAACUAAGUAAUAUAAACUGUCAGGUAUAUUUACAUACUGACCAUAAAAAUGAAAAUAUUCCCUUCAAGGAUAGUUGAAUAGUGUUUUAUAAAGUUGGGACUAUUAACCACCUUUUUGGAAUACAAUCUUGACGAGCAUUACAUGGUGAUUCAGUUAUAUAUAGAGUGUUUGCACUCAUUCCCCAGGGACCAACUCAGUCUAAUUAAGUCUAAUUAAAAUUCUUUUGAAUUGGAACACCAACAUGGCGGCUGUGACGUCAUGUGCAAACACUCUAUAGGCCGGUGUUUCCACUUGCAAUUCUUGCUGCGAUUCGAUUUUCGUCUUCUGAUGGACGUGAAGGAAGGGAUAGGUUAUGAAUGUUCUGAGUACAUGUACCUCCUCUCCACAGAGUAGAGACAUACAGAGACGUAACUAGUGUACCCACUUUUUUUGUGCGCAUGCUCGGCAAGUUACUAGAUGCAUGCAUCUGAUUGGAUGACGACCUGAUGACGACUCAUUUUAAACUUGCUGAGCACGCGCAGUUGAUCAUUUUUCGCCCGGUCGCCUAAAAAAAGUGGGUACAUGAUAACGUAAUCUUCCGCAGUGUUUACAACGGUCAGUUACGUCUCUGUAUGUCUUAUCUACUCUGUGUCCUCUCUAAGCAUUCAUAACUCAUACACUUGUUUACAUCCAUCAGAAAUAGAAAAUCGCAGCAAAAAUAGACCAAAGAAGUGCCUGGGUCACGCAAUUUUUAAUACAGAGAAAAAAUACACAGUGCAUUGUGGGUUACUUCUGGGUCAAUAAAGCGCUCUGCUUGCCCUUCGACCCCCAAUAUAUUUGAAAUGCCUGACCGGGAGCUAAAAUAUUUAUAUAUACUAUAUAUUAAAAUAGGUUAAAUACCCGUCUACCCCUCCUAAAAAUAACUUAAACUUUUGUCUAUAAUAAAACUAACUUUAUAAUACUACGAUAUGUCGUUCGUGACAAUGUCUCACGCUGAACAACGAGCCUUGCUGUAGCAAGGAUAAUAUUUACAUUAUAUCUAAAUACGGCCUGAAUAUGUUGUCCCUUCAAAGACUGCGCGGGUGGACGCAGGUAAACCGCGGUUUGACGGGCGUUAAGCGCCUCAGUUAAAUACAUAUCUGCUUUUCAAAAGUCAAAGAUCAAAAUGCACGCAGUCAAACCGUGCGAUGCGCGAAGACCUCGCGGUUCAACCUCAAUAGACCUCUUUCAAGGUUAACGACGCCAUAGUGAAACACAAUAGCGCAAGGGCUGCAAACACAAUGAAAUUCCAUAUAGAGUGUUUGCACUCGUUCCCAGGGACUAACUCAACAAAAGCCAUGGCGGCCAUGUUGGUGUUCCAGACAAUAGAAUCUAAUUAAAAUUCUUUUGAAUUGGAACAUCAACAUGGUGGCUGUGACGUCAUUGCAAACGCAAUGGUGAGAACAAUAGAUUCAAGAUGGCGUCUUUAACCUUGGAAGGGCCUAUUGAAUACACCGGAAAGUACGUCACUUUGUCUGCAGAGCCUCGUUUUCGUGUAUCUUUUUUAUAUAAACAAUAUUUUAUUAAAUUUAAUACGAUUGCUCCAACAGCAUCAAGGGUUAUCAAGGGGGCUUUCGCGUAUCUGACAUCAGUCAAAGCCCAUGCUUCAAUCACGUAGACGAGCUUCUAUAGCCAAGAUGACGUACUUCCGGAAACGUGCAUUGAUAUUGUUUUUAUCAUCGUUUGCAUCAAAGGACAAACCGUCACAGAUAGAAAUAUUGUCUAUGUGAAACUUCUGGAACGAACAUUUGAAGGUUUUAUUUUUGCUGAACUUCAAAUCCCCGUUACAAGCUUGCAAACCACACCAAUCACAGUAAAUAUAGAAAUCUUUUGAGAAAGCAGCAUCGUUUUUUAACUGCUUUGGUAAUAAACAAAACAAAACAAAACAAAACAAAACAAAACGAUAAAAUUCUAUACAAAUCCUAAAAACAAGCAAACACGGAUCUUAUUUUGAAAUGUCGUGGUUAAAAAUUAUCGCUAGGUUUUACUAAGCACUAUUGUGCAGCAGAUGGUGGUUAACCUGUAGUUAUCAGAGUGAGAAAACAAUGUGGGCCUCUUCGUCGCAAUCACUUGUCUUGUAAUUGUGGCCAAUUAAAUAGGCUCACCACCCUCUGUUGUCGUGUAAUGCUUACUAAAAACUAGCAAUUGAAAGGACAGCAAUUCAGGCCAUCGAAACAAUAAAAUACGAUAUUCUAUACCGUGUUUUGGGGCGAAUGUCAGUCAAACAUUGAGAGGAGAUCAUCGCUGAGAUCUGAAGUCUCCAAGUACGGAAGAAAAUCUGCUGGGUCAAGAUUGCCCGGAAGCUCCUGGAAAUGAGAAGAGAUUUAGUUGAAGAAGUUUACGAAGAAGUUUGGUAAGAGUACGAUCCCUAAUCUACUCCUUUUACAAUUUCUUUCUUCUUCAUUCACAUAGUGUUAAACACAUUGUGAAAAUCACACCAGUAUCACCAUCAGCAUCAUCACCAUCAUAUGGCAUCAUUAUCAUAACCACCACCAUCAUCAUCAGCACACUAUCACCAUCACCACCACCACCACCAUCAUCACCGCCAUUAUCAUCAUCGCCACCAUCAUCAUUAACAUAACCACACUAUCACCACCACCACCACCACCACCACCAUAAUCAUAAUCAUAACCACACUAUCACCACCACCACCACCACCAUAAUCAUAAUCAUAACCACACUAUCACCACCACCACCACCACCACCAUAAUCAUAAUCAUAACCACACUAUCACCACCACCACCAUAAUCAUAAUCAUAACCACACUAUCACCACCACCACCAUAAUCAUAACCACACUAUCACUACCACCACCACCACAAUCAUAACCACCCCCCC